rnacentral:rRNA from 1 species
UACGUAGGGUGCGAGCGUUGUCCGGAAUUAUUGGGCGUAAAGGGCUCGUAGGCGGUCUGUCACGUCGGGAGUGAAAACUCAGGGCUUAACCCUGAGCCUGCUUCCGAUACGGGCAGACUAGAGGUAUGCAGGGGAGAACGGAAUUCCUGGUGUAGCGGUGAAAUGCGCAGAUAUCAGGAGGAACACCGAUGGCGAAGGCAGAUCUCUGGGCCGUAACUGACGCUGAGGAGCGAAAGCAUGGGGAGCGAACAGG